ACCCCAUGGAGCUUUAAACCCAACGACACCCAUUUUCUUUAUACCCUAGUAUUCAUUUGGCUAUGUUUGAUUGGUUUUAGGUUGGGGUGACCACGGAGCAUAAAAUAACCUCCACGAAGAAGAGACUAAUAAUCUUUAUCAAAGAAGUACACUUCUAAGAAUUAACAAAUUAAUUUCCAAUGAUCCGAUAUUCGAUCAACGAACCAAGUUACCCUGGGGAUAACAGCGCAAUCCACCUCAAGAGCUCCUAUCGACAGGUGGGUUUACGACCUCGAUGUUGGAUCAGGAUAUCCCAGUGGUGUAGCAGCUACUAAAGGUUCGUUUGUUCAACGAUUAAAAUCCU
rnacentral:rRNA from 1 species